UACAGAGGUCUCAAGCGUUGUACGGAUUUAUUGGGCGUAAAGGGUGCGUAGGCGGUUGGGUAAGUCUGUCGUGAAAUCUCCGAGCCUAACUCGGAAACUGCGUCGGAUACUAUUCAACUCGAGGAAUGGAGGGGAGACUGGAAUUCUCGGUGUAGCAGUGAAAUGCGUAGAUAUCGAGAGGAACACCAGUGGCGAAGGCGAGUCUCUGGACAUUUCCUGACGCUGAGGCACGAAAGCCAGGGGAGCAAACGGG
rnacentral:rRNA from 1 species